rnacentral:piRNA from 1 species
UUGUCAUUAGGACCAAAUGGAGA